rnacentral:tRNA from 1 species
CAUUGGGAAGCUAAAUUGGAUAUAGCGUUAGCCUUUUAAGCUAAAAAUUGGUGACCUCCACUCACCCCCAGUGA